UUCGAACAAUUCUGAAGUUUGUUAUGGAAUGUUGAUGUUUUCGUAUCGCGUUAACGGAACUGACAUAUAUAGUAAAUACGCAUGUACGUGCUUCCACGUGAUCACCGGUUUCAUUCAAUUCGCGAAGCAGAAAGGUAGUUACAGUAUAACUUGUUCCACAAAAAAAGGGUGGGGACUAAAAAAAGGAAUCUCAACACGCAAAAUCCAGUAAAGCCAGAAGGAUAGACGAAGAUGUGACAGAGGGAACAGGGCGGGGAGAAGAGGAGCGGGGAAGAAAGGAGACGUGAACACGUGAUCGAGAAACAAGCGUUCACUCGCUCACCUGCAAACAGAGGUCGAAAUCUGGGCAUUCUACACAUCUGACACGUAGGCCCGAGAUAUCCUCUUGACAAUAGGGUUCUUCCAGAACGAUCGGGAUGACGUCACCGCAUGCCAAAAAGCAAUAAGUUUACGUAUCACGUACACUGAACGUGCAAGCUUGACCCCAUUUUUUCCGCGAAAUCGUACGAAAACGCGGAAAAAUCCUGGUGCGUCCGCCUGGACGCUCUAAUUAUUGUACAAGCGUAAACUCGUUAGAAAUCUGAAUGGAAAAAAUGUUGUUUACGACUGUUGCGUCGCGAAACGAGUACGCAUGCGUUCCUUCUCCUACCAUCUAGGUAAACUACGUUUCAGUUCCGCCAACUGUGUAAUAAGAAAAUUGCCUUCUUCCGCAAACCAAAUAUAAUUUAUCCGCGCGCAUUCAAAUAAAGCAACACUGUUUUAGCAUUUCUCAAUUUUUUUCGUUUAUAUAAAGUCGGACAUCGUGCGUGAACAUAUAAAAUAUAUAUCGAAUAGAGCAACAGAUUAAUACAACCCCGGAAAUACGAUAAAAUGUUGGCUGUAAGUAAAUAUUUUUGAAAACAUUUUUUACUACUUUUCCGAGAACAUAUCAACUGCUUUUUGUAUUGUAUAUUACAUAAACAUUACAUUAUAAAUUUAUCAUAAUGAAAAUAUUUAUGUAAUAUGCUUCUUGAAUGUUAUCAAAUAAUUUGAAACAUGUAAAAUUACAUUCGUAGAUUGUUCAGUUAAAAGCUUUUCGUAAGAACAUUAUCUUAUCACGUCGAUCAAUUUGCAUGGGGCGUCCACGAUUAAUCUCUGAUAAAGAUUUACAGAAACUGAAAUUAAAGCAAGCAAGAAUGCAGGUCUAACUGAUUUUGAUAUAAAUAUAAAAUGACGUGAUAUAUGAUAAUUAAAUGAACUCCGUGUAAUUUAUAUAUAAUUAUUUUCCAUUUAUUUAAACAGUGUGAAGAUAAUCUUCCUGUGUAUUUGAAGUGUGGUACACGAGAUAAAGUGGUAUAUUGGAUCAUUGUAGCAUUUACUGUGUAUUGCACAAUACAAUCAUUUAAAGGAAUAAAGAUAUUACUUGAGAAAUAUUCAUAGAACUAUAAGAAAUUUAUUGCAAUAAAAAAAAUUUAACAUUGAAUAAUUGUAUAAUUUUCUUUAAUAAAAUCUUUAAUUGCAA